GUUGUUGUAGUAUAGUGGUGAGUAUCCCCGCCUGUCACGCGGGAGACCUGGGUUCGAUCCUAGACAAUGGCG
rfam:Ipomoea nil DNA, scaffold: scaffold3318, cultivar: Tokyo-kokei standard.